UAAGUUACGGACUGCAUACUGGUGAACAUCGACGUACGUCUCGACGAUUUUUGCCGGUCACACGUUGUCUCAUUCCGGAUAAUUUUACCGUUCGCGUGGAUUAUACGUCUCUUCUGUUCUCGAUCUCUUGUUUCUUUCUCCCUAACUACUACUUUCUUUAGUUAAUCUCUGCGUCUGUUGCUAUCUCUUCUUCUCGCAUGCUUCUUUCAACUAUGCUGUUAUCACGUCUGUGUUGUAUUGCUACGUAGUGCUAUGGAACGUUUAUUUCUACUAUCCAAAUACGACAUCACUGACGCUUAUGUAUCGUGUGGUUCUAUUUCGCCGGAUAUGUAAGUUCCGUUUGCGGUCAGAAGUAAUAGCAGUGUGUACAGGCUUAUACGCAAAGAAACUAAUCACAUGGUUGCAUAUUGACACGAGAGGAUUUGUAAUUGAUUCUUAUCGAUUUGUCUCGCUGGAUAUUCUUGGCUGCUAACAAAAUGAAGUGAUAACCAUUUUGUCAUUGGACUUAACAAUUUGUUAUACGAAUGGCAUUAGUAUUUAUUGUGCGGUGGUGCAGUGACUGAUAAAAACUAUGACUGUAAUAUCUUAGAUUGAAGAAGACCGAUCUAAGUCAGAUUGGCGAUUUUUAAAAGCUUUUUGCUGGCACACGUGCUGAAGAUCGAGAAAAAAGAAGAGAGGAAUGGAAAAAAUAGUAGUGCGCGGUUCAGCGUUCGUUCGAUGACAACUUGUGAUAAACGCCACGCAUCCAACGACACGACUUGCUGAUCAUCAUCUUCUGGAGGAUCCCGAUAUAUAGUGAGAUAGAGUCUAUGUCGACUGCACGAGACUCGAUUACGAAUCAAGAACACUUGGUCCAUCUCAAAUUUUCCAAAACCAUUCCCAUGAGUCUUCGAGUAUUCCUGAACGAUCCGGAAAUUUGAAGUAAAAAGUUAAAAAAAAACUCUUUAGCAAGAUAUCUGCAGUAAAUGACCGUGUAAUGAUAAAAUAAAAAAUCAAGAGUCUAUGACAAUGAUAAAAGAGGUUGGUGUAAAAAUUGAAAAAUGUUGAACAAUCGGGUUUAACCGAGUGACAAGUCGGUGAAGUGUCAAUAAACGUAUCCAUAGAUACUUAUACGUAUGCGCGCAUACGGCUUAAGCUAGUGAUAAAAAUAAUUCCAAGGAUUGUGAAUAGUGAAAAUGGAUCCCGGUGAAGAUAUCUUAUCCAGCCGAAUGGAGUCGAACGCUUCCUCGUCCUCGAAUUCGACUCUGAGUCCGCGUACACCACCGAACUGUGCACGCUGUCGAAAUCACAGGUUAAAGAUUCCUCUUAAGGGUCACAAGAGGUACUGCAAGCACCGUUACUGCGUAUGCGAAAAGUGUCGACUGACUGCCGAGCGACAGAGGGUGAUGGCUGCACAAACAGCCCUAAGGAGAGCACAGGCGCAGGACGAGGCCAGAGUUCGGGGACCGGAAGAGCAGGUGGAUCCAAGACCCCUAGCUGCAGAGGGCAAUUGCUUGGCAUCGGUACCACAGCCGGCGAGAAGUCUGGAGGGUAGCUGCGACAGUAGCAGUGGAGAUUCGCCCAUCAGUAACCACGAUAGCAACGGGAUCCACAAUGGUAUAAGGGGUGUAGUUACUGUACUAGCCUCAAGAAAGAUGCCACCACUGCAUCCGCAACCAACGACUACGACACACGUACCCCAGGUACAACUUGGUGAGAACGUCGAGGUCCUAUUGGAAUACAGUACCAAACUUCUCGAGAGAUUUCGAUAUUCUUGGGAGAUGAUGCCACUGAUGUACGUCAUACUCAAGGACGCUAAGGCGGACCUCGAGGAGGCUACUAGACGCAUUGCCGAGGCGGUGGACGUCUUUCAUCUUAAAUUAACUUAUUCGACGAUGAUUAUAUAAUUUCAUUGAAUAUAUAUUUUUUUUCGCGAGAAAAUAAUUGCGCGAUCGAUGUCUUGUCGCACUUAUUAAAAAGUGUCGCUCUUCUUCAGGUAAUAAUAAAUUUAUAAGCUAUUGGAAUAUUGGACCUGUUCAGUGUUUUACGGAGUUGAAAGAUCUAUAGAUGAUCAUUUUUCGGGGAUAACUUUUUUUUCGUCGAUACACCAUUUUUUCUAUCAUCACCUCAGCACACGAAGAUCUGAUCCAUGCCGAUGCACCGGUUGAUCGUCGAAUUCUUGAAGAUCACGAUAAUCAAUGCUGGAAGAUCAAAUUUUACAAGAAUUUUCGACACUGAAGAUCCUUAAGCCCGAUUCGCACGUCGGCCGAGCGAAGGAAGGCGAAGGCAAUUUUAUUAAUAAUUUCUUCUUCGCAAUGAGCCUCAGACCAUAAAACAAGAGCGGAAGCUUCGUUUGACUUAGUCGUGAUGUGGAUGAACCUUUACAGCACGACUCCUGAAUAUCUCACCUACGGAAGAUUCUACACCUGAAGAAUCGAUCUACAAUAGAUCUUAUAAACGUGUCGCCGACGACAUCGGAUAAACUUUUAACGAUCGUCGCUCAUUGAAAACAACACGAUUCGUCGAAACGGCACGAAGUUUCUGGCUCGCUGAAUUGCAUUAUGAGAACAAAUGGAAAGUAACAAAAAGGAAGAAGAAGCGAAGAAAGAAGACACGUAUAAAAGGCAUUUGGUGUCUCAGACACUUCGACACCCGAAGAUCCAGAAGAGUUCUUAUAACGAAAAACUGGCACUGUUCGUGACCGGAAGUGGCGGGACCCAAGAAGUGACAAAAGAUCGUUCGGUGAUAGCUUGCUGAAUUACACGAAGCGCAAAGGAAGGUUCAUUCCAAAGACGAAGAAAAGGAGAAGCGAAGGGAACGAACGUUGUCCAACCACGAUUUCUGGACCGGAAGUCAAAUGCAAGAUUGGCGAACGGUUACCAUCGCCAUCGAAACUGGAGGAUCUGGACAACCGGAAAGGACGUCUCCGUUUUUUUUUUUUUUUUUUUCCCGGACGAGAUCCCGAUCUCAUGACGCAGUUACGAUUUUUUUCUAAUUUUUUUUUUAAUGCUAUUAAUCACAUCUAUCAAAAUGACGACGUUGACGAUCCUAACUUCGUUACCUUGACGCUUACUUGUGCGCCGUAUAAUUUGCGUUAAAAAAUUGGUCUGUUCUUCGCGUGUCCGCUGGCCGAACAUGCGACAAGGAGGAUGACGAUCGAAUUUCCAUUGAACUUCCGAUCGAUGACUUCUGCGAUGCCCCGGAAAAAGAGAUAGCGGAAUGCAGUGUAAAAAAUAUGUAACGCGCUUCCGGUAUUAUUGAGCGAGCGGGAACGCAAUUAUUAAUAGGAGUGAAAAGGUAAAAGCGCCUGUGCAUUGCGUAUACUACGGUACUUCAUUUUAUUUAUUGUGAUAUUAGGGAGAAAGUCAUUAUCACGGUUAGUGGCCGGCGUCGAAGUCUUGUGCUUCAUGAGACCGUAGCGUCGGGACGUUUCGAGUCGUACAAGUUUGCUCCAUUUGAUUAACGAGAGAGCCACUCCUCGGUAUUUUCUAUUUUUUUUUUAUUUUCUUCUUCUUUUCUUUUAUAUAAUAGGCGUAUCUGUCACCCCGCCUGUGUGUAUAUAAUAUAAUAAAUGUAUAUGUAUGCGUACCACAGUAUGUAUGAUUGACCAUGUAUUCUUAAAAAGUUCACGGAAUAUGAAACUGUCUGUAUCAAACGUAUAGACUCUGAGUAUGCGAGGCGUGGAUGAUUUGUUGAUGAAACAGAAAAAGAAAACAGAAUCCUUUUCAUCUUCGAGCGCCCAUUAGCGUCUUAAAAUUUACGUACUGCUGCCAUAUUUUUUUAAGGGUAACGCUUUUACUAUAUCGUAAUCUAUCGUGUAUUGUGUAUACGGUGUGAAAUGUGCAGGGAAGACUUGAGGAUUUAUCGAAGGAUCAAGGAAUAAAGAAAUAAAACGUACACACGCACGCGUACUAUAAAUAUAUAAAUAUAAUGUAUAGUGGGUCUUUUCGUGUGUGAGAGAGAGAGAGCGCGAGAGUGUGUGUGUGUGUGUGAGGGAUGGGAAACGAGAAAGGGUUGCCAAAAGAAAUUGGUGUUAUGAAUUUUCAUACGAGAGAUUAGCAAAGAAAAAAUCAAAAUAUAUUCAGAGAUCCGAAGAAGAAGGGGGAUACACCGUUUUUCCUGGCGAAAAUUUCAAGAUAUUUCGCCGAAUCUCUAAUCGCGAUUGUCGCGUACAUGUCGCACGUUCCUAAAGACGUUGCUCGAUGAGGUGCGACAUAAGCGUCGAGAUGUUCAAAAUCAAAAUUAAAGCAUAAGAUAAAACCCCCUGGCGUCACUGGUCUAUAUAUGUAUAUCUACGUACAAAGAUAAAAGUCGAAUCAUAUAUUUCUGCGUGGCAGGUAAUUGUUUUGCUAAAAAAAAAGAGAAAAAGAAAAAAAUAUCUACAGGAAUCAUUAAAAACUCGCCUUUCAACACUUUUCAAGUAGUGACCGUCUAUUGCGAUGGGAUUCAAAGAAACAAAAAAAAUUGAAUCUGACCACCAUUUUCUGUUAUCUUACGUCAUACGUCAUAUAUAUCCUGCGAAGUCAUAAAAUCGAAUGUGACGUGUGGAAAUGUACGCGCAUACAUAAAUACAUGCGUACCUACUUACCGAUCUACCUAUAUUCGUAAAACUGUCGUAGAUUAUUUAUUGGGCAAUUCUGGGGUGCGAGAGGAGAAUGAAGUGUAAAGAGAGAGAGAGAGAGAGAGAGAGAGAGAGAGAGAGAGAGAGGGAGAACAAAACGUAAUGGCAAUGGCAAAGGCCUGGCAGUCAAGAACGAAGACAGGACAAAUAUGAGGAAACGAUAUACCUAUUAUUCCAUUGUGGAGUAUGCACGAGAAUCGUUAUUCAUGGAUUCAGUGUACUCGACGUAACUAUAACUGUUAAAUUAUAAUAAAUAAAUAUAAUAUAAGCGGUAUCUAUACGAGAAA